AAGAAACAACCUCCUAACCCUAGCCGGCCUCUUCACCUCUUUAAUAGGGGUCGGCUUAGGUAGGUUUUACAUGAAUGUCCCUCUCAAUUAGGACUCUCCUAGCUAGAGUCCUAACAGACCCGCCCUCUUCAAAUCAGCCUUGUCCUCGAAGCUGACGAUUCAUGAAUUUUGGGAAUUUGAUCUUCAAGUCGUCAUAGUUCUCCCAAG
rnacentral:lncRNA from 1 species